UGUGCCUUUAGAAGCAUUACAGAUGUAGCUGCUGUGACUUAUGUGUGUUAGUAGGCAGCAGAGAGGAUAAAGGCUAUGUCCAUGCUCAGCAUUUUGACCUGUGAACAUCUAAAUGAUUAAGAACCUAACAUU